ACUGGCUUUGGUCAUCAUCACCUUAGAGUUCGAGAGGCUCGAACCAGGCUGCUGUGAUCCUAUAUCUGAUCUGCUAAAGAAAGCACAGGUCAGUCUCUGAGCAGUUCAGCUGCUGCAAGGAGCUUGUACUGCAGCACCUGAAAAGUUUGUUGUCAUCCUCCCAAGCAGACAACUAGUCACCAGCACCCAGCUUCUUGGCCACUCCCCAGUGCUCCCGAGCAUGGUGGGAACCCUCAGACACCUGUGAAUUCUUUGGCUUGACUAAUCCUGUAAAGACAAGGGGAGCAAGCCCUGGAAGAGCAACUGGGGAAGUCCUGCAGGCCUCAGAAGAAAGCAGGGGCAGGGGUCAGCACAGGUAAGGGUGGUCUGACAGACACAACCCUACCUUCUCAUUUGUUCCUGGUGAAGCCAGGGAGAUGAGUGGGCCUUGAUCAGGACCGAAGGGCAGAGGCCAGUCCUCACUGACCACUUCCUGCUAGUCUACUCGCCAGACUGGCUGGGUCCUCCAGCCUCCCACACCUAUCCCAAAAUGUGUCCCUGUGCUUCUGUCCCAGCUGUUUGCCGUCUCUCCGCACCCUUUCACCCUGACGUGGCAGUGACUUACAUCUCGGGUCUGGAUCAUGAUUAGGCUUUAAUGUGUAGUAACCCUGAGCAAGCAGUAAGCACCUUCAUCCUUUGUCUCCUGCCCACUCCGACGACUGGGCCCAGGGCGCUCUGCCACUGAGCCACAUCCCCAGCGCUUUUGAUAUUUUGAGACGAGCUCUAGCCCAGUUGCCCAGGGUGGGCUCAAAUUUGUGAUUUUCCUGCUCCAGCUUUUAUUACUCUUAAGCAAAGGCACUUCCUGGAUUAACUAGAGGAAUGCCAUGCUGGCGAAUGGAUGUUACUGGGUACACCUGUGUGGCAGGCAGGGCUCUGAGAGCUUUUUGUUGGGCUGGGAGCAGGUUCUGGGGCCCAGGCUGCGCCCACUGCUGUGUAGUGAGGUUACUUGUGUGCCUGAGGGGGAGGCCAGCUGCCCCUCCCACGGCGAUACCACUGAACCCUCUGUGCACUGGCGCCCAGCUGGCGAAGCCGCCAGCUGGAGCUGUGUGCGUAGCACUGGGGGCCUAAGUGACUGAGCCACACGCUUAUCGGGGGUGGUGAAGUCUUCCUUUGUGACUUUCUUUUUUGUGAGUGCUGUGCUGUGGAGGAUGGGGAUGUAGCAGAGCGGUCAGGGACCAGAUCUACCAUAAUCACGUCUGCAUUGUAGACGGUAUAAUGCCACCUUUUCUUGUCACAUCUUGCUUUUGGGAGUUUACAUUAAAAUAAACUUUGUCAGUAAUGCCUGCAUCUUAUUGUGCAUUUGCGGCUACUAUUUAGACUUGCUAGAGUCAGACACACCUGGGGCGCUCUCCUGAUCAGUACAUCAGUAACCACUGAUCAGUAACCACCAUCCCGGCAGAUCCUGGGAAGACCGAAGUGAGAAAGCGGGGCGCGAAGCUUAGGGAGCUGCAGGGAAGGGAGGUGUCCUGAGAUGCCACGGGCUGCAGGCUGCUCACGGCCACAGCUGCCCUGCGCCUCCGCCCUUCCAGCGAGGGCCACUGGAGCAGGUGGGAAGGGGCUCAGUCUGAAGGCCCACACCAGCCCAUGCAGCUCAGGCUCUGGGGAACUGCUGGGAGGCUCCUGGGCCUCUGAACUCAGUGGCUCCAGCCAUAAACUCAGUCCCCAGAGCCACUGCCACUCUGCUGGGGGAACAGAGCAGCAGACCUGUGCACCCCAAUCUGAGUUAAGGACAGCCUUGUUGCCAUGCCUUUCUGCAAAUGCUGGACCUUCCAUCUGGGGCAGCUGACACGCGUGUUUUCAAAAAACUGAGCUCUGCCCAAGUUUGUCUUAGAUCCUACUCUAACAUUUCACAGACAUGGGGAACCCAGCAGGGGGAUUAACAGGCACAACCCAGCUUCCUUUUGUCCCCUCUCCAGAGGGGUAGGGAUUGGCGAAGGCCACAGCAAGCGGAAAUGGGAGAAAGCCCAGCGGCAGACGGAGUACAGGGGGCUCAUGUAGGAGACACCACCAACCUUUCUCAAACUUGUCCACAUACUCUUUCCCGGAUGAGUGGGUCAAGUUGGGCGAUGCUGCUCCCACACUGAGGGGGCCCAGCUCCUUCCUCAAAGCUUGAUGAGAACUUUGCCUCCCCUGCCACCUGCCUCCCCCAGUAGAGGUGAGCUACACCCUGCCAAGGCGGUCUGAAUGCCAGUCUUCCGGCCCAGCUCUCAGUUCCCGGACCUCUGCCCCUAUUUCCUCAUUUUCAGUCUUCCUAGGAUCAAAGCAAGGGCUUCAAUGAAUGGACUCAGUUCUGUGUGUGAUUUUCUUCAGCCACCAGUCUGCCCUUCCUUAGCCAAACACCGUCCCGCCUCUCCAAAACUACUGCUACAAGACUUCCACUGUCAAAGCCUAGACCUUAACAAGGCUCCAUCUGUACUCUCCCUCCGUGACUCUGCUGGAUGCCAAGGAGCAGCUACACCCAGGAAUUACAGAUGCAGACAACCAAUACUCGCAUCCCCCCUUCCAGUCACUUGAUGUGUGACCCUGGGUAACGCUGUCACCUCCCUGCCUCACCUAUACAACAGGGAGUGAUGAUGUCUAAUCUUGGGACCAUGAUGAAGGUCAGAGGCGUUAGUGCACGGAAUGCAGCCGAAUGCACACAAAUGUUAGUUGUCCCAGGUCCCCCUCGCGCCCUCCACCCCGUCACCCCAUCAAGACGCCCGGGCCGCAGACACAUUUGCUCUUUUCUGGAACUCUUGCCUCCCUGCUGCUCCCUUCCAAGAGCAACUCGCAGGUGCCUGGGGCAGCAUUCACCACUACAAUGCGAUUCCUCCCUCAGGUUCACAGCAAGACAAACUCGAUUUUACCACAGCUGUAGCGUAUUAAUAGGCUUGGGAAAUUUGUUAACUCAAAAGAGCUGCCCAAAAAAGACACCAUAAAAACUCAAAAUAAAUGCAAAAUUUAAUGGGAAAAAAAAAAAAAACAGUACAAAGUGAAUGGAGAGGAACAAAAACAGUCAAUGAAUGAGUAAAUGAAUUAACAAGUGAAGCAGUUUUAGAAAAGCAUGUUAACAUAACAGACUAGCACGGCACGCUCCCUCAGCCUCUCACCCAGUAACGAGCCCCACAGACAGACAGACAGACAGACAGACAGACAUAACUGCAGUCAGUCUGUACAGUCGCGAACCAUAGCCCGUAGUGAAUGAGACCACACAUCCUGGUGGGUUUGGGGCGGUUCCAGUUCAGGGCCGCUGGCCGAGCGAGCGUAGUGAUUAACCACACCCCCUUUCACCCUCACAAGUCCCAAUUAUAUGGUGAUUCUACCCCAAACCAACGUGGCUCUGGGAAGACAUGAUAGUAAACGCCAAGGCGGUCCUACGUGACGUCCCAAAUAAUGCCAACGAAUGAGGAGGAAAGGGGGGUAAAUCAGAUCUGCACAUGGGAGUCACGCUCCAUGACAGGGGGCUGGUUAAAGAAUGUCAGACUUUAUGCUCACCCUGUACACCAAGACGUAAUCUGGUCUCAGCUCAAGAUGACCGAAUUCCAAACACAACGGCAAGGGGAGAGGUGCACUGAGGUGGGCUAAAGCAGACCCCAAAACUGCAGGUGAUGCUGGGCAGGCUCAGGUCGGCAGGCCAGCAGCCAACCACAGCAAGGCCUUCCCUGGCCCAGGCUGCCCAGCGGGCUGCGGUGGGCAGGUGGCAGGGUCUGCCCAGGACAGGCAGGCAUCCUCGCUCUCACAGAAGCACUGCUGGUCACUGAGCCUUGCUGUCAAAACCCAUCAGCCAGGAGAGGCUGCGUCAAAGGCCGAGCUCUGACCCAGGUGUGUAUACUUUCAGACACGGACACAGCCUGUGGAGGAGCUGCUCGCCAUCCACGCCAGCCUUUGAGUGUGCGGGGCCCAUGAAGCUCUAUCUUCAAGGCCCCUUCUAAGGGCUGUACCUAAUUCUACAUUUAUAUUUUUCUGUUUAACAUGGUCUCCCUAGAUAGUUCAAGUUUCCAGCCUUGGUCAUGGUGUAACACUUGGAGAAUUUUCAUUUGGCGUAUCAAUAAAACCUCCUCUACUGCUGGCAUGAGGAGCCCCUCACCCAUACAGGCUGCCCCUUUCCGGCUGUGCCUCGGUGGACCUGUAAGAGCCCAUCCUUCCUCUUUGGUGUGGUAGGGUGUUGAAACAAGGUCUCCUAUAUAAUUCAAGCUGGCCUUGAAUGCAUUAUGUGGCCAGACCCAGUGAUCCUCCUGCCUCAGCCUCCCAAGUGCUGGGAGUAUAGGCAUGCACCACUGUGCCUGGCUCUCCCUCCAUCUAUCAACUCAGUAUCAUCUCAGAGGGGCAGGAGGAAGCCCAGCCUUGGUCCUGGAAAUCGACAAAACAGGCCAGGCAGAGAGGGAGAAAUGGUGAUGGGAAGAAAUACAGGGGCAUAAAAAGCUACCAACCCAGCAAUACCGAGCACAGCCUCGCAGGGCUCCGCUGCAGGGAGCAUGCCAGGCUGUGAGAGCCGGAGGGCCCUGCACUGCGCUGCAGCACAGACAGCACCUCUUACCUCCCAGUGUGACAGGCCGAGUGUCCCCCCAACAUUCCCAGGCGCUUGCAGACCACCAAGAGCGUAGAGGAAUGAAUGCUGCUAGGAUGUUCUUAAAAAUGUUCUUCUGUAGAGUGCAGCCAGAGCGGGGAAAGCCCCAGGCUGCUAAUUUUUUCUCAAUUUGUCCUAAAUAUAUCAGGUAGUCCCCUCCUCUUUGCCCUGUCCCUCAGCCUGGAAGGAAGAAACAAUGAGCUCAGGGCAGCUGCCUCUUCCCCAGAGCAGAGCUCUUUGCACUGGAAAGUGAGGUUGGCUGGGAGUCUUACUGGGAAUCCAACACUUAACACACAGACAUGGCAUUGGUCCCUUUCCUGGGAAGCACCUCCAGCCAGAGACAAUGGCUUUGGGCUGCUGUUCCAUUUACAUUCACAGUAAAAAUGCUGGACGUGGUCUUGCUCCUGUUCCACUUUCAUUGGUAAAGAAAGUUCAAACACUGUCAUUACAGGAAGUUUAUUGCCCACCUCUCCCUGUAUAUUAUAGGAGUACUCUGUACAUAAGAAAGGCUUAGAGGUUUUUUAGUUUUUAAAAACCAGGGAGUCUGGGUUACUUACAAAAAUAAUGGGAGAGGAUAUUAUUUGUCUUUAUGCUGGUGCCAAAAUAAAAAUUCAGAAGUGUCUCAAAGUUAUUACUGAAAUUAAACUCUAGGUUAGAAAAAAUUAAAAUGAAGGGGGAGCGGGCGAUCCUGCAGCGUUUACCAGACCAUAGGCUGCGCCUGGGGCACCUCGGGAGUCACCAUCUGGACGCUGAACAAUGAGGCCUAGCAUGGCGGCUGGGCCUUCGCUAGAGUGGCUUACACCUGCUCCGUCAAGGGAUAGUGACACUGUAAAUGGAAGACCAGCCACUGGCUCUGAAAAAAACAAACCUCGUCAGUUUUGGGUUCCAGCAUUCAUGGCUUUUGUACGUUUGCAUAGAGGGCGUGGCCUGCAGACCUAAGGGUGCCUGGGGCCGGGCUGGGCUGGGCUGGGCUGGGGUGGGGCAGGGCAGUAAACACUGGAGUCUGUCCAGGCUCCCAGUCCGUCCUCACACCAUGUUAUGGGAGAAGGGUCACAAGGUGUAACUCAAGCAACUUAACACAUGAAAGUCUUAACACAUGAAAGUCCGCUCUUGACAUGUAAGUCUGUGCGUGCGUUAACUGAAAAAUAAAAAUAAAACAAACAAAACAAAAA